rnacentral:rRNA from 1 species
UACAGAGGUCUCAAGCGUUGUUCGGAUUCAUUGGGCGUAAAGGGUGCGUAGGCGGCGCGGUAAGUCGGGUGUGAAAUCUUGGAGCUUAACUCCGAAACUGCAUUCGAUACUGCCGUGCUUGAGGACUGGAGAGGAGACUGGAAUUUACGGUGUAGCGGUGAAAUGCGUAGAUAUCGUAAGGAAGACCAGUGGCGAAGGCGGGUCUCUGGACAGUUCCUGACGCUGAAGCACA